rnacentral:rRNA from 1 species
CAGCCGUAAACUAUGCGCGUUAGGUGUAUCGGUGACCACGAGUCACCGAGGUGCCGAAGGGAAACCGUGAAACGUGCCGCCUGGGAAGUGCGGUCGCAAGGCUGAAACUUAAAGGAAUUGGCGGGGGGAGCACAACAACGGGUGGAGCCUGCGGUUUAAUUGGACUCAACGCCGGACAACUCACCGGGAACGACAGCAAUAUGUAGGCCAGGUUGAAGACCUUGCCUGAAUCGCUGAGAGGAGGUGCAUGGCGUAGACGUCU